rnacentral:ncRNA from 1 species
GAAGCUUUAUUGAAGAUGAAGGAAGGUCCUUCGAAAUCGGUUUUCAGGAGCAGGUUUCAAACCACCUUAAGUGGCUCUAUUUAAGAGAUAGGGUCAUAAGCGUUAAGGAAAAAUCAGCGUAAGAGCUGGAAGGUGAGGAUCAGAAAGGCGAACGUAAGUGAACCACUGAUGAACGUGUCGAAAUGGGAAGUGAACAUCGAAAGGGGGAGUGAGUCGUUCUCCUCUUAAUGAGCUUACAAGAAACCUGAUUACUGUGUAGGUGGUGUUCGGCAUAAAGGUAGCGCGAGUCUGAUCUGGGCUUUAAUAA